AUCCGGUGCAGGGACAGUGUCAGGUAGGCAGUUUGACUGGGGCGGUCGCCUCCUAAAUAGUAACGGAGGCGCCCAAAGGUUCCCUCAGAAUGGUUGGAAAUCAUUCGAAGAGUGCAAAGGCAAAAGGGAGCUUGACUGCGAGACCUACGAGUCGAGCAGGGACGAAAGUCGGGCUUAGUGAUCCGGCGGUACCGUAUGGAAGGGCCGUCGCUCAACGGAUAAAAGCUACCCUGGGGAUAACAGGCUUAUCUCCCCCAAGAGUCCACAUCGACGGGGAGGUUUGGCACCUCGAUGUCGGCUCGUCGCA
rnacentral:rRNA from 1 species